UCUUUUCUUAAUUCCCAACUUCUUUUUAUAAUAUAAAUAUCAAACCCAUAUUCUAAUAUACACAUGUAUAGCACGAUACAUAGACUAAUAUAAAUGAUCUUCAAAUAUUCAAGGCCUGAGGUCCUUGAUUGGUGGUGUGGUAUUUAAUUUUUUUAUUUACUUAUAUACCUUAUCAAAAAAAGAAGAUAACACACCUUUGAAAAAUUGUGAGAAAAGAAUCUUACCAUAAGUUGAGUUCUGAAUCUUGAAAUCAUGGCUGCCACGAAUGAUUGAGGUGAAACGAGAUGUUGUUCAACUUUUGAGAUAACUGGCGUCAGAGGGAGUAUAACCUUUUAGCUAGGUACAUGGGUGCGACUAUGGGGGAUUUUAGCGACAACUUACGAAGAUUUUGCCAGUGUGAUUAAAGAUGCCGCCGCCGCCGGAAGCGUAGUUGACGCCUUGUAAAAUUGCUGCUCCUUCUGUAGUUGGUGCCAAAUAUGGAGGAGUGAAGCCACUAAGACCUAUUUCUUGUCCUGUUUGAUGCAUAAAUUAAGAGAUUGUAAUAGAAUGAGGAUAUAUGAAUGUCGAAAACUUGCCUAAAA